UUGACAUCGAAAUGAGAAUUGUUAUUAUUCUCUCAACUGAUCGCGAGAUCAGCCGGUAUCUGAAGGCUCCAGGCAGUCGAUCUUUCAGUUAUCUCCUCAUCAGGCUAAUCACGGUUUUGACCCGGCUCUUGCCGGGUCUUUUUUUG
rnacentral:sRNA from 1 species